rnacentral:rRNA from 1 species
CUACGGGAGGCAGCAGUAGGGAAUAUUAGUAAUGGGCGAAAGCCUGAACUAGCAACGCCGCGUGUGCGAAGAAGGCCUUCGGGUUGUAAAGCACUUUUUGAGAGGAUGAGGAAGGACGGUACUCUCA